UACGGAGGGUGCAAGCGUUACUCGGAAUUACUGGGCGUAAAGCGUGCGUAGGUGGAUUGUUAAGUCAGGGGUGAAAUCCUGGAGCUCAACUCCAGAACUGCCUUUGAUACUGGCGAUCUUGAGUCCGGGAGAGGUGAGUGGAACUGCGAGUGUAGAGGUGAAAUUCGUAGAUAUUCGCAAGAACACCAGUGGCGAAGGCGGCUCACUGGCCCGGUACUGACGCUGAGGUGCGAAAGCGUGGGGAGCAAACAGG
rnacentral:rRNA from 1 species